GACGAACGCUGGCGGCGUGCUUAACACAUGCAAGUCGAACGGUAAGGCCCUUCGGGGUACACGAGUGGCGAACGGGUGAGUAACACGUGGGUGAUCUGCCCUGCACUUCGGGAUCAGCCUGGGAAACUGGGUCUAAUACCGGUUAGGACCACAGCCUGCAUUGGUGGUGGUGGAAAGCUUGUGCGGUGUGGGAUGGGCCCGCGGCCUAUCAGCUUGUUGGUGGGGUGAUGGCCUACCAAGGCGACGACGGGUAGCCGGCCUGAGAGGGUGACCGGCCACACUGGGCCUGAGAUACGGCCCAGACUCCUACGGGAGGCAGCAGUGGGGAAUAUUGCACAAUGGGCGCAAGCCUGAUGCAGCGACGCCGCGUGAGGGAUGACGGCCUUCGGGUUGUAAACCUCUUUCAGCACCGACGAAGCGCAAGUGACGGUAGGUGCAGAAGAAGGACCGGCCAACUACGUGCCAGCCGCCGCGGUAA
rnacentral:rRNA from 1 species